rnacentral:lncRNA from 10 species
GGGAUGUGGCCUUCGGUCUUUCCUCGCAGCUCCGGGGCAAGCUAGGAGUGGGAUGGAAGUCGAGAGUCGAUCCCGGAGCCCGGCCGCGGGGAGAGGUUCUCGGCAGAGAAGACAAAGCCCGCAGCAGCGAUGGGGGGAGAGCUGGGCUCUGCGUGUUGUGGGGGCCAGGAAAGGGUGCCAGGCUGGGGCUGGAACCCCCUGGCAAAGGAUGGGGUCCCCUCAUCCCUAAACAGCAAGCCAUCUCCCCUCGCCCGCCCCCCGCCCCCCCAGUCUCGGAGAUCUCAGAGGCACCGACUGGGAGGGCCGGGCGCGGUGGCUCACGCCUGUAAUCCCAGCACUUCGGGAGGCAGAGGCGGGUGGAUCACCUGAGGUCAGGAGUUCGAGACCAGCCUGA